GAGGGUGUAGCUCAAGUGGUAGAAAGCAUGCCUAGCAUGCACAAGGUUCUGGGUUCAAUUCCCAGUACCUCCG
rfam:Camelus ferus unplaced genomic scaffold scaffold1907, whole genome shotgun sequence.